rnacentral:rRNA from 1 species
CAGUAGCCGCGGGAAUACAGAGGGUGCGAGCGUUAAUCGGAUUUACUGGGCGUAAAGCGUGCGUAGGCGGCUAAUUGAGUCGGAUGUGAAAUCCCCGAGCUUAACUUGGGAAUUGCAUUCGAUACUGGUUAGCUAGAGUGUGGGAGAGGAUGGUAGAAUUCCAGGUGUAGCGGUGAAAUGCGUAGAGAUCUGGAGGAAUACCGAUGGCGAAGGCAGCCAUCUGGCCUAAUACUGACGCUGAGGUACGAAAGCAUGGGGAGCAAACAGGAUUAGAUACCCCCGUAGUCCCUGUCUCUUAUAC